rnacentral:lncRNA from 1 species
ACCUCACCAUACAUGCACACAGCUAGUGAUGCAUAAAGUCUUCAUUCCAAGACUGACAUUAAAAGGGUUGUGCAACUGCCUAGAUUCCAAUGUCACUAACGGUUUUCUGAGGGAGUUGGAAAGAGAUAAGAGAGAGACCUUGGGGAACAAUUUUAAAGUGGCUCAAUAGCGAUCGCAGAGCCAAACUCAUACCUACAUCAAUGUGGUGCAGAGAAUCUCUAAGAAUUUUUAAUGCUGAAUUGGAGCAAAGAAACUUCAAGGAGGAAGCAAAGUGAAGAACACAGAUUUCACAGAUGGGAUGCCUGGCUCAAAUUCCAGCUUGACCGCUGGUAGCUGUGUGACCCUCGGCAAGUUACUUGACCUCUCUCUACUCAGUGUCCUCAUCUGUCAGUGUAAUAUGAAUCAGAAAACAUGAACUCAGACUGAUGCUGGAAGCCACCUUAUGACUAUAAGCAGAAUCAGCCUCGUUAUGACGUUGAUGCUAUAAGCAACGGACUGAAAGAUACAAAGAGCAAGCAGACAGGAUGAAAUGCGUAAAUGGCGACAGUAGAGCCAGCCUUCAUGAAUCCAGAAAUGUGAGCCACAUUUUGAGGAUAGCAGAGUCACUGCAGAAGCCUGGAUCCUUGCAUAACCUUGUCGAGUGGGAAAAUCUACCCAUACUUGACCAACCACCUAACUGGGGGCUCUACAUCUGAGAGAAAUGAUUUUUUAUCUUAUUUAAGCCACUGUAGUUAGGAGUCAGUUUAUUACAGGACAUUGCCUGGUGUUCCAACAAAUAAACUACCUUAUUUGUUUCAAUAAAUAAAGUGGCUUUUAUUUACUAUUUUGGGGAUGGCUAAAAAAUUAUCAAACUAGGUAGAACUAAACUAAAGUUUCAGAUGAAAGAAGAUCUUCAUAAGCAACAUCACCAUCUUGUCACAGCAGCCAAAUGGUGGCAUGUCAUUUCUUCCAGGAAAGUAUAUAUACUCUGAAUGUAUCAUGUUUCAGCAUUGCUCUGUUAUAGGCUUGUAUAUCUAAUUUUGUCAUCACACAAGAUCUAUUGGGCUGGAUUAAAAUUAACCAAGAUCAUAAGACAAAUGUGUAAAAACAUUAAAUUUUUCAUUUACAAUGAGAAA